AAUAGAUACCCAGGUAGUCCACGCCGUAAACGAUGUCGACUUGGAGGUUGUUCCCUUGAGGAGUGGCUUCCGGAGCUAACGCGUUAAGUCGACCGCCUGGGGAGUACGGCCGCAAGGUUAAAACUCAAAUGAAUUGACGGGGGCCCGCACAAGCGGUGGAGCAUGUGGUUUAAUUCGAUGCAACGCGAAGAACCUUACCUACUCUUGACAUCCAGAGAACUUAGCAGAGAUGCUUUGGUGCCUUCGGGAACUCUGAGACAGGUGCUGCAUGGCUGUCGUCAGCUCGUGUUGUGAAAUGUUGGGUUAAGUCCCGCAACGAGCGCAACCCUUAUCCUUUGUUGCCAGCGGUUCGGCCGGGAACUCAAAGGAGACUGCCAGUGAUAAACUGGAGGAAGUGGGGAUGACGUCAAGUCAUCAUGGCCCUUACGAGUAGGGCUACACACGUGCUACAAUGGCGUAUACAAAGAGAAGCGACCUCGCGAGAGCAAGCGGACCUCAUAAAGUACGUCGUAGUCCGGAUUGGAGUCUGC
rnacentral:rRNA from 1 species